AUUGAACGCUGGCGGCAGGCCUAACACAUGCAAGUCGAACGAGUGGCAGAGGGGUGAGUAAUGUCUGAGACAGUGUCUGUUGGAAGGGGAUAACUAGUGGACACGGUAGCUAAUACCGCAUACCCUCUGAUGCGCACAGAUGGGUAUAGCUAGUAGGUGGGGUAACGUCUCACCUAGGCGACGAUCCCUAGCUGGUCUGAGAGGAUGACCAGCCACACUGGAACUGAGACACGGUCCAGACUCCUACGGGAGGCAGCAGUGGGGAAUAUUGCACAAUGGGCGCAAGCCUGAUGCAGCCAUGCCGCGUGUAUGAAGAAGGCCUUCGGGUUGUAAAGUACUUUCAGCGGGGGGGCGUUACCCGCAGAAGAAGCACCGGCUAACUCCGUGCCAGCAGCCGCGGUAAUUC
rnacentral:rRNA from 1 species